rnacentral:rRNA from 1 species
CGUAGGGGGCGAGCGUUGUCCGGAUUUACUGGGCGUAAAGAGUGCGUAGGUGGCUUUGCAAGUCAGAUGUGAAAUACCGGGGCUUAACCCCGGGGCUGCAUCUGAAACUGUAGAGCUAGAGUACAGGAGGGGAAAGCGGAAUUCCUAGUGGAGCGGUGAAAUGCGUAGAGAUUAGGAGGAACACCGGUGGCGAAGGCGGCUUUCUGGACUGCAACUGACACUGAGGCACGAAAGUGUGGGGAGCAA